CACCAGGCUCAGAGUUUUGCAAACCAAAGUUGGGGGAUGGCUAGCGUGGCCUCCCGGCAGUUCCUGUUGCAGACAGCUAGAAGCUACCACAGCACCCUCUGCAAUUUCAAAGGAGAAAGGGACUCAGCACAAAUGCCCAGCAGGAGAGAGUGGACAAAAUGGCUCUUGUCACCAAUGGAAUGCUCUACAGCAAUUCAAAAGAAAGAAACACCUCUACAUAUCGAUGGAAAUAAACAAAAACUAGGUGCAAUGUGGUGUCCUGGAUGAAUCCUGGAACAGAAGGAGAACAUACGAGGAGAAACUGUUAAAGUCCAAAUAAAUUCUGGAACUUU
rnacentral:lncRNA from 1 species